GACAGAGGGUGCAAACGUUGUUCGGAUUUAUUGGGCGUAAAGAGCGUGUAGGCGGCCAGGUAGGUCUGCUGUGAAAACUCGAGGCUUAACCUCGAGCUGUCGGCGGAAACCAUCUGGCUAGAGUCCGGAAGAGGAGAAUGGAAUUCCCGGUGUAGCGGUGAAAUGCGCAGAUAUCGGGAAGAACACCCGUGGCGAAGGCGGUUCUCUGGGACGGUACUGACGCUGAGACGCGAAAGCGUGGGGAGCGAACAGG
rnacentral:rRNA from 1 species